AAAUUCCUGAAGUGUUCGAGAUCUUACCAUAUUUGAACCUACACAACUGACUCGGGAUUCCAAUAUGCGAGAGUUAUGUCAGGCCCCAAGAUAAUUCCCUUUGGGCAGGGGAAGGCAGAGACUUUGGCUGCGGUAACCCACCUGGCUUAGGCUAGGUGUCAAGCGGUAAGGACGGCACUUUGGGAUAUUU
rnacentral:other from 1 species